UACGAAGGGGGCUAGCGUUACUCGGAUUGACUGGGCGUAAAGGGCGCGUAGGCGGCUUGUACAGUCAGACGUGAAAUUCCUGGGCUCAACCUGGGGGCUGCGUUUGAUACGUAUGGGCUUGAGUUCGGAAGAGGGUCGUGGAAUUCCCCAGUGUAGAGGUGAAAUUCGUAGAUAUUGGGAAGAACACCGGUGGCGAAGGCAGCUUGCUGGGACGGUACUGACGCUGAGGCGCGAAAGCGUGGGGAGCAAACAGG
rnacentral:rRNA from 1 species